GGGAAAAAACAGAACGUGCACCGAGUUUAGGAAACGCUGGCCUAUAUCCACAGUAAGAUGACGCCGCCUCCUCCUCUUCUUCUUUUAUUCUACAGCGUUUCACUCAGAUACUGAGUUUUGUGGCUCGAAAGAUAUCCAUCUUGAUAUCAUCAGUCAUGACCAGGGCGAUGAGCAAGCCAGCCGAUCCUGAAAAGUCCAAGCUGUCCAGUUAUGUGGUGGCGUGUGUCCAAUAUAGAAUGGAAGAACCUUCUGGACUUCUUCAAGGAAAUCUGCCAGAAUUGGGGUGAAGAAAAUACAUACACAUCCUACAAUUACUGUUUACCUCAGUCUAUCUACAAGGGUUAUCCAGAAUGUUAUCGACCACAAGCCAGAAGACACGUUAUUCCAUCGCUGUGGAGGAUUCCAAGUACACUGGAGGAUAUUGUCCCAUGUGGCUCAGCUGGUAGAGCACGGCGCCUGCCUUCGCCAAGGUGUGGGUUUGAUUCCCAUUGGGGACCCGUAUGAAAAAAGGCAGUGUAUUCAUUCACAACUGUAAGUCGCUCUGGCUAAGAGGGUCUGCUAAAUGACUGAAAUGUUCAAAUAAUAUAUAUAUUUUAAUCAUAAGCUAAGCCAGACAUAUCUAUGAUCAUUAAGUGUAUUUGUAAAAUUGUUGCAUUUCUUUAUUUGAAAUAGAUGUGUAGAUUUAAUUGGUUGGUGUUUUCUGUAUAGAUAAUAAGGGGUGGGAGCCUAGCGGUUAAGAACGUUGGGCCGGUAACCGGAAGGUCGCUGAUACGAUUCCCUGAUUCGAUUCCCUGAGCCAACUACAUGAAAAAUCUGUUGAUGUGCCCUUGAGCAAGGCACUUAACCCUAAUUGCUCCUGUAAGUCUCUCUGGAUAAGAGGGUCUGCUAAAUGACUCAAAUGUUCGGUCCAUGGCAGAUCAAGAAAGUCCUCCUCCGAGGAGGACUACCUCACUAAGGCUCUGACGGUAUGUCUAAUUUGAUCCCUGUCUCAGGUUUAGGAAAUCUAAUUCAGAAAUGACAAUGGUCAGUUGGAGCAUAUCUUCACUAGCCUGGUCCCAGAUCAGUUUGUUUGACAGUCUUGACAACUCCUAUGGUCGACGAUGGGAGGACAUUGGCAAUACAGCAGUAGAUCUGGGACUGGUCUAAAUUCAGUUUGACCCAUUAAAAAAAAAAUAUGCACACAUGUGGAUUACUGGAGUGUCAAUUUGUGGAUAUAACCAGUCUGAAGGAUACCUUCAAUCUCCUGGGUAUCCGAGGCUGGAAUUGUUGAUAAAGGAAGAAAUCAACUGAGUGGUGGAGGAAUACAAACUGUCAACUUCUAGUGAGUGGUUCAGCUGCAGUAUUAACAAAAAGCUGUCCAGCAUCAGUUUAUAAUAUAUGUAUUGUAGGAGUACAGGUUUGUAGCAAGUACACAGCAAUGAGUGUACCAUGGUAUUAUUGCCUUAUACCCAUAUUCAAGCCAGACAUAGAAUAUUGUGCUGU